AGAGUUUGAUUCUGGCUCAGAACGAACGCUGGCGGCGUGGAUAAGACAUGCAAGUCGAACGGAUAAAUUUAAUAGUAAUAUUAAAUAAUAUCAGUGGCGAACGGGUGCGUAACACGUGGAUUACAUUCCGGAAAGUGAGGAAUAGCCCAGGGAAACUUGGAUUAAUACCGCAUAAGGUUGAAAAACUAAAGGCGCAAGCCGCUUUCCGAUUGGUCCGCGGCCUAUCAGCUAGUUGGUGAGGUAAUUGCUCACCAAGGCGACGACGGGUAGCUGGUCUUAGAGGACGACCAGCCACACUGGAACUGAGACACGGUCCAGACACCUACGGGUGGCAGCAGUCGAGAAUCUUUCACAAUGGGGGAAACCCUGAUGGAGCGACGCCGCGUGGAGGAUAAGGUCUUCGGAUUGUAAACUCCUGUCAUGCGAGAACAAAGCCUCACGGCCUGAUAGUAUCGCUAGAGGAAGAGACGGCUAACUCUGUGCCAGCAGCCGCGGUAAUACAGAGGUCUCAAGCGUUGUUCGGAAUUACUGGGCGUAAAGGGUGCGUAGGCUGCGUGUAAAGUCAGAUGUGAAAUACGAAAGCUUAACUUUCGAAAUGCAUCCGAUACUACCACGCUAGAGAUCUGUGGGGGAGUUUGGAAUUUUCGGUGUAGCAGUGAAAUGCGUAGAUAUCGAAAAGAACACUUAUGGCGAAAGCAAAACUCUAGACAAAAUCUGACGCUGAGGCACGAAGGCUAGGGUAGCAAACGGGAUUAGAUACCCCGGUAGUCCUAGCUGUAAACUGUGCGCGCUUGGUGUGGGAAGGUUAGGCCCUUCCUGUGCCGUAGUUAACACGUUAAGCGCGCCGCCUGGGAAGUACGGUCGCAAGACUAAAACUCAAAGAAAUUGACGGGGACCCGCACAAGCGGUGGAGUAUGUGGCUUAAUUCGAUGCAACGCGAAGAACCUUACCUGGGCUGGACAUGCACUGUGUCCUUAACGAAAGUUAAAUAGUGUAGCAAUACACGCUUUGCACAGGUGCUGCAUGGCUGUCGUCAGCUCGUGUCGUGGGAUGUUGGGUUAAGUCCCGCAACGAGCGCAACCCCUGUAAUUUGUUGCCAACGGGAUUCCGAGCACUCAAAUUAUACUGCCCAGAUUAACUGGGAGGAAGGUGGGGAUGACGUCAAGUCCGUAUGGCCCUUACGCCCAGGGCUGCACACGUACUACAAUGCCUAAUACACUAAGACCCAAACCUGCAAAGGCAAGGAAAUCAAAAAAAUUAGGCUCGGUUCGGAUUGCAGGCUGCAAUUCGCCUGCAUGAAGUUGGAAUCGCUAGUAAUGGCAUAUCAGAUACGGUGCCGUGAAUACGUUCCCGGGUCUUGUACACACCGCCCGUCACAUCAUGGAAGCUGGCAUUGCCCAAAGAACUUGUAAUAACC
rnacentral:rRNA from 1 species